UCUCCGUUGGUGAACCAGCGGAGGGAUCAUUACCGAGUUUACAACUCCCAAACCCCAUGUGAACCUUACCAAACGUUGCUUCGGCGGGAUGCCCCGGGCGCGGGCCGCAAGGCCUCAGCCCCGGAACCAGGCGCCCGCCGGGGGCCCAAACCAAACUCUUGUUUUUGUAGAAUCUUCUGAGUGGCCUUCUAGGCAAAAAAUGAAUCAAAACUUUCGACAACGGAUCUCUUGGUUCUG
rnacentral:misc_RNA from 1 species